ACGGAGGGUGCAAGCGUUAAUCGGAAUUACUGGGCGUAAAGCGCACGUAGGCGGUUUAUUAAGUCGGAUGUGAAAGCCCUGGGCUCAACCUGGGAACUGCACUCGAUACUGGUAAACUAGAAUUUGGGAGAGGUAAGUGGAAUUUCCGGUGUAGCGGUGAAAUGCAUAGAGAUCGGAAGGAACACCAGUGGCGAAGGCGACUUACUGGACCAAAAUUGACGCUGAGGUGCGAAAGCGUGGGUAGCAAACAGG
rnacentral:rRNA from 1 species